rnacentral:lncRNA from 1 species
UAGUAUAUAUAUAUGUGUGUGUGUAUGUGUGUGUAUGCUUGAGUAGGGGUAUAUGCCUUCAAAGGAGUAGGAUUCCUUCAAAUGCCAACAACGAGCAUUUCUUCAGCGUUAAGGAUCGGAAUGUCUUUUUGUUGGAGAGCCACCGCGCAGCGCCUGGCCUCGCUCAUCGCCGUCAUCGUCUCUUUGUCGCCGCCGGGCGGAGACAGCCCGUUAGCGGCAUAUGCCGCUUUGAAGUCAAUCUUUGCCUCAUCGAAGAAUCAAACAUCUUUAGAAGAAAAAAGAGAGAUGGAAAAUUUCUGGCUCAAAGAAGAAUCUGACAAGUUGAUGUUUUUCGAUUUAUUGAUCAAAUAAGAAUCUGACAAGAGAAGGAAAUUUCAUGGCAGCUGAGAAGGAAUAUUAUGAACAAGGAACAAGAAAAGUAGGUUGUGCAGUCCUCUAGUGCAUGAAAGAGUUCAAUUUAAUUAACCGUUGAUUUUUCUAACAAUAUCAG